ACCUCGGAGUUCCAUGACCUUCGGCCUUGUGCUUUAAUAUGGGCAUGGAACUCCUCGGUGACUUAUAAUAUCCUUAUAUUUUACAAUAGGGGGUACUUUAUUCCCUAUAUAUUUUACAUUAAUAGACCAUCAUCAUUGAUUUCUUUAUCACCAGCAAGUUAGACAGCACUUUACAAUCAUACAUAACUAAAAUGGGUCUUGCAGUGAUAUAACAAGGUUUUAAGAAUAUAUAUAUGAUAAAAGAGCCCUGGUCAUAAGAGCUUACAUUUAAAGGUCAAAUAUUUAUAUAUUACUAAGAAAUGCAUAGGAAAGGGACGUUAUAACGAUUUAUUAACCAUAUUUACGUGUAACUGGUCACAUGGACAUAUUUAUUUAAAACAUUGUACGUUGAGAGAGAAACCUUCAAAGAAAAUAAAAUACAUGUAUCCUGUAAUAUCUAGGGUAAACUGUUAGUUACUCCACUAAGGGACCCCGAUGUGAGUUCAUUAAAGGGUAUCUAAACCUGAAAUUUCCUCUGAGCACUUUUGCAGUUGACCAGUUCUAUUUUUAGGUAUUUCUGGAAUAUUAGUGCUGCCUGAAUAAGUCUGGGGCCUUUAGGAGCCAGGAGCCUAGUAUUAGCAGUCUAAUCUGCUAAUAUCUUAUGUAGAAUAUGCAUAGAAGAAUAAUGUAAAUUGCAAAACUGAUCUUAACUAGGUAUACAUCAGAGUAUUUUUUGGCUUCAGAUCACCUUUAAGCAUCCCAAUGUAACAUAAGAUUUCCAGGCUUCUACAAACCCUGCUGCUGUUCUAAUCCCAACGGGCAAUUUGCCAUUUCCCAGCUCCUCCUCUACCACACCCAUUCCGAUUAGAAUGUUUGCAAAAGAACAGUUCAAUGGCUGCACUAGUCCUUUUGGUCGUUCAAAGAUUCUAGGUAUACCUACUCAUCUGCCAUUCUGUGCUCUCUUUUUCCAGAGAAGAAGGGGGGUGUCUUUCCUAAACCUGACUAUCUUUUGAAAGGUAUUUUUCUUUUUAUCGUAUUUCAUGCUUUUAGGUCAGUUCCCCCCCCCCCCGUUUUAUCACCUUUUUUAAAAUUUGCACUGAGACUUUCAGCUCCGUGGUUAUCGCAAUUGAAAAAACAGAGGGGCAAAGCUAACACGUAUCCAUGUUUACUCAAGGACCUGUUUGUCAAAAAGAAAAAACAUUUAAAUGACACCUUAUCUCUGGUGUAAAAUUUUUUUUUUUUAAAUUAAGUGUCUGCCUUUCCAGCGACUCAUCUGUGGCGAGAAUAUUACUGGAGACUUGCGCAGACCUUACCCCGGCAGUGCUCCAGCAAAUGUACUAUCCAAGCUGCAAACUGAGUGCUGUAUCCAGGCAACAACACUGCAUCUUCUGAACUGCGGAUAAAAAAAAGCAGAAGCCUCUCGCGGCACUAACCUGUUUACAAACAUUAUUGUUUUAUCAUAUUCUGUGUUUUCUGCUUUUCUUCAAAAAAAGAAAAAAAAAAUACUAAGAACAAAAAAAAAAUAGAAAAAAAAAAAAUACUUCCAUUGAAUUUCAAAAGUCUAUUUUCGAUUCUGAAUAGAAAUUCCUUUACAUCUCGGGGAGCGUACCAGUGUUUUAUAUGUAUUCAAAGAAAACUUAACUUUAGCCAUUGCUGUGCAACAUUAUAUUACAUGUUUUUUUUUUUGGGUCAAGCAUAUUUUUCCCGGAUUUUUUUUUUAAAUCACUCUCUUGCACAUGGUGGAUAUAUUUACUCAGGAAAAUGGGACAUUUCCAGGAGAGUAAAAAAAAAAAAAAGCCACACAACCAUUUCAUUGUAUUUUUUAGAAAAAAAAAAGAGCUACACAAAAAAAAAAAAAACAUAAAAUAUGAGAGAAAAAAAGAUGAAGAAAUUUCCCAACUCCAAGCACUGAGAAUAUGGGGGUGGGGGGUCGGCUGAACCAGAGGAAGACAAAUGAUUCCUGUUUGUAGCAGUUACAUAUUAACCAAAUAAUGGACUUGAAAUGUUUCAAGCUGUAUUCGUUGAAAAAGGAAAAAAAAAAAUAUUGGUUUAUGUUGAAACACAAACGAUGACUUUCUGGGGGGAAGGGUUCUUGAAGGAACAAGGCGCCUUCUACAGCUGUGGGUGGGAAUCCUGGAGCUCUAUAUGGAAAAUAUACAACUUGGGUGAUGUUGAACGGGAUUGGUUGAACGUAUGGCGGGAGAUGGAUUUUUUUGGCGAGAGGGUACAAGAAAGGGCAGUUUUUGUACCCAGCAGGAUCCUGACCUAUGCACAAGCCGACACCGGAAGCUUUUUGUUUUGGGGGAUGGUCAAACCAUAUUCUAACUGCCCCGGCAAUUCUUGUCUUACCCCCUUCUAUUUACAAGACAGGGAAUAGAACUUUUCAGACAGUACAACCUGUGUAUUUCAAGCACUGGGACAAUCCUUAGUUACCCUCUCACCGGGGCGAUCAGAUUCUCUCCAGCACCGGACAUUCUGUUUUGGCUUUUAUGUCUCCACUUUGCACACCAGAGAGGACAGACAGUGUUCAGAAGGUUUACAAGAAUUUAUAUAUAUAUAUAUAUAUAUAUAUAUAUAUAUAUAUAUAUAUAUAUAUAUAUAUAUAUAUAUAUAUAUAUAUAUAUAUAUAUAUAAAAUGCAGACGGUCUGAGGUUCUCUCCCUGAGCGGGGGAAAUGUUUGCCUUGUUAUUUUCAACCGCCUUUCUUUUGGAGGCAAAAACGGUCCCAAAGAUGAAUAUGUUUAAGAAAAAUAAUGCAUUUUGUGGCUCUUAUAUUGUUAACUCUGGCUGCAAAGAGGGUUAAUACACUUGUCCUACUGGACAAGCACAUAAAAUUUCUCAAAUAUUGAAAACUGUGAGAUGCUCUAUGCUCUAUCUCUGCAGGAAUUCUUCCACAAUUACAAAAAAAAAACCCUCUCCUCCAAUAGUGUGCGCUCUAUAUUUGGGUAGGGGAGUCUUGGGAGAAGGUUGACUAGCACUUUGGUAUGUGAUGAAGCCCCCAGUAGAUAAUGAUGAUAUGCUGCCUUGGCAUGUUGUGGGGAGAGCAGUAUGCAGGCAAACAAAAGGCAAACACACUUUAUUCCAUGCAACAAAAAAAAUUAUAAAAAAACAAAAAACAACUGAUAUAUAUCUAUCACUGAAGGACACGGGAACCUCUCCAAAUAUUUGUCAGAACCAUGUCGCCAUCUUUGUGUGGUUUUCCUUUUCUUAUUUCAUUUCUGUUGGCUUUUAACAAUGUCUAACGUUUGAGGUUCAAAGAUAAAACUCAAAGAUUUGUGUUUUUCUUUUCUCUCCUAGAAUGUGUUUGUUAAUGAAUUGCACCAAAAGCUGCUUUGAAACAAAAAAAAAAAAAUACAAUGUUGAAGCUUCUUUAAAAAAGAAAACGUAAUAAACUGCAGUUUUUGGGUU